AUUGAACGCUGGCGGCAGGCCUAACACAUGCAAGUCGAGCGGUAGAGAGAAGCUUGCUUCUCUUGAGAGCGGCGGACGGGUGAGUAAUGCCUAGGAAUCUGCCUAGUGGUGGGGGAUAACGUUCGGAAACGGACGCUAAUACCGCAUACGUCCUACGGGAGAAAGCGGGGGAUCUUCGGACCUCGCGCCAUUAGAUGAGCCUAGGUCGGAUUAGCUAGUUGGUGAGGUAAUGGCUGACCAAGGCGACGAUCCGUAACUGGUCUGAGAGGAUGAUCAGUCACACUGGAACUGAGACACGGUCCAGACUCCUACGGGAGGCAGCAGUGGGGAAUAUUGGACAAUGGGCGAAAGCCUGAUCCAGCCAUGCCGCGUGUGUGAAGAAGGUCUUCGGAUUGUAAAGCACUUUAAGUUGGGAGGAAGUGCAGUAACCUAAUACGUUAUUGUUUUGACGUUACCGACAGAAUAAGCACCGGCUAACUUCGUGCCAGCCGCCGCGGUAAAAC
rnacentral:rRNA from 1 species